rnacentral:rRNA from 1 species
GACGAACGCUGGCGGCGUGCCUAAUACAUGCAAGUAGAACGCACAGGAUGCACCGUAGUUUACUACACCGUAUUCUGUGAGUUGCGAACGGGUGAGUAACGCGUAGGUAACCUGCCUGGUAGCGGGGGAUAACUAUUGGAAACGAUAGCUAAUACCGCAUAAGAACAUUUACUGCAUGGUAGAUGUUUAAAAGGUGCAAAUGCAUCACUACCAGAUGGACCUGCGUUGUAUUAGCUAGUAGGUGAGGUAACGGCUCACCUAGGCGACGAUACAUAGCCGACCUGAGAGGGUGAUCGGCCACACUGGGACUGAGACACGGCCCAGACUCCUACGGGAGGCAGCAGUAGGGAAUCUUCGGCAAUGGGGGGAACCCUGACCGAGCAACGCCGCGUGAGUGAAGAAGGUUUUCGGAUCGUAAAGCUCUGUUGUUAAGGAAGAACGAGUGUGAGAAUGGAAAGUUCAUACUGUGA